rnacentral:rRNA from 1 species
UACGAAGGGGGCUAGCGUUGUUCGGAAUCACUGGGCGUAAAGGGCGCGUAGGCGGCUGUUCAAGUCGGGGGUGAAAUCCCGUGGCUCAACCACGGAAUGGUCUUCGAUACUGGACGGCUCGAGACCGGAAGAGGUGAGUGGAACUGCGAGUGUAGAGGUGAAAUUCGUAGAUAUUCGCAAGAACACCAGUGGCGAAGGCGGCUCACUGGUCCGGUUCUGACGCUGAGGCGCGAAAGCGUGGGGAGCAAACAGG